rnacentral:rRNA from 1 species
GAUGAACGCUAGCGAUAGGCCUAACACAUGCAAGUCGAGGGGCAUCACGGAGUAGCAAUACUUUGGUGGCGACCGGCGCACGGGUGAGUAACGCGUAUGCAAUCUACCUACAACAGGUGGAUAACCAGGAGACAUCCGGACUAAUACCGCAUAACACAGGGGUCCCGCAUGGAAAUAUUUGUUAAAGAUUUAUCGGUUGUAGCAGAGCAUGCGUUCCAUUAGGUAGUUGGUGAGGUAACGGCCCACCAAGCCUGCGAUGGAUAGGGGAACUGAGAGGUUUGUCCCCCACACUGGAACUGAGACACGGACCAGACUCCUACGGGAGGCAGCAGUGAGGAAUAUUGGUCAAUGGGCGAGAGCCUGAACCAGCCAAAUCGCGUGAAGGAAGACUGCCUUAUGGGUUGUAAACUUCUUUUGUACAGGAAUAAAAAGAGGGACGUGUCCUUCAUUGCAUGUACUGUACGAAUAAGCAUCGGCUAACUCCGUGCCAGCAGCCGCAGUAA